GCGAACUCGGCAGAGAUGCCUUGGUGGCCUUCGGGAACGCUGAGACAGGUGCUGCAUGGCUGUCGUCAGCUCGUGUUGUGAAAUGUUGGGUUAAGUCCCGNAACGAGCGCAACCCUUAUCCUUUGUUGCCAGCGAUUCGGUCGGGAACUCAAAGGAGACUGCCGGUGAUAAACCGGAGGAAGGUGGGGAUGACGUCAAGUCAUCAUGGCCCUUACGAGUAGGGCUACACACGUGCUACAAUGGCGCAUACAAAGAGAAGCGACCUCGCGAGAGCAAGCGGACCUCAUAAAGUGCGUCGUAGUCCGGAUCGGAGUCUGCAACUCGACUCCGUGAAGUCGGAAUCGCUAGUAAUCGUGGAUCAGAAUGCCACGGUGAAUACGUUCCCGGGCCUUGUACACACCGCCCGUCACACCAUGGGAGUGGGUUGCAAAAGAAGUAGGUAGCUUAACCUUCGGGAGGGCGCUUACCACUUUGUGAUUCAUGACUGGGGUGAAGUCGUAACAAGGUAGGCGUAGCGAG
rnacentral:rRNA from 1 species